UUUUUUUUUUUUUUUUUUUUUGCUUUUUAGGGCUGCAUCCACGGCAUAUGGAAAUUCCCAGGCUAGGGGUCAAACUGGAGCCACAGCUUCUGCUUAUGCCACAGCCACAGCCACACAGGAUCUGAGCCAUGUCUGCCACCUACACCACAGCUCAUGGCAAUCCCAGAUCCUUAACCCACUGAGCGAGGCCAGGGAUUGAACCCGUGUCCUCAUGGACGCUGGUCAGAUUCAUUUCCACUGAACCACGACAGGAACUCCAGAUCUUCACUUCAGGAGAAGCAGGCAGGGACAGGGCCACCCAGGAGGCUCAGGCAGGCACAUGGUUGGACGCUGAAGGAGCAGGUCCUGUCCUGUCCCGUCUCCUAGCAGCAUUUUUGUUGGGGGGGUGGGGAUGGGGGAGAUGCUAAUCUGGAGAGGAGCAAAGUGAAACAGAUUCAGAAUUACUAAACAUUUCCCCAAUACCAGAUUUGCAGUAAGUAGGGGAAGUUCCUCCUCACAGCUUCACAGGGAUUCCUUUUCCAUUUCAGCACAUGUGUUGGGAUUAAACAGUGCAGCCGGUCUUCUGAGCUGCUUUGCGGUCCUGCACCGCUUAACUGCUUAACUCAGGGACAUGUGGGUUUUGGAGGGAAGUUGUGGUCAAACCGAAAUCCCCAAUAUGACUGUACAAGAGUUAGAAGCCCUCCUUGGAAAGCCCGAGGAGACCCCAUCCAUCCCAGCUGGGAAAAUUAAAGGCGAGGCUUUAAACCCUUCUUUCAACACCAAGCCAUAGCUCAUUUCAUCGGCUACAGGGAGAAGAAACUGAAGAAACAAGAUUAAAAAGAAGACAGAAAAAAAAAAAAAAAAAGCCUAACAGCUCAUCUCCCUUACCAACAAGGCUUCCCUCAGAAAGAGAAAAAAGAGUGGCAUUUGUAUAAACACGAAAAACUUCUCAGCCAGGACCUCAAUGAAUUACUACUGGCUCCAUAUCUCAGUGGGCGGCUCAAGUGGAAGCAUUUCUAGCUUGUGUCUGACUCCCUAGGAUGUGGAGCACAUCUGGGGGCAGCUGGAGAGAGGGGUCGGGACUCACCCAUGAGCAGACGUCACUGUGGGGUAAAAAUAAGCCACGUUCUAACUCUUAUCAGCAAGGAGGGGAAAGGCAAUUCCAAAGUGUGUGCAUGUGUGUGUGUGUGUGUGUGUGUGUGGAAGGAUGGCAUGUAAAGAACAGACAGCAGUUACUAAGACAUUUGUUCAGUUCUCAAGAAGCUUCAGUUAGAAGAAAAGGAAGUGGUAUGAACUUUUCACCUUUUAUCUGAAUUUUCUGAGGAGGAGUUCUGUAGGAUUUUAAGAGUCUUAGAACAGGACACAAGAUUAGCGGUCACUGACUGCACCAUGCUCUCCUUGGGGAUCUAUUUGGCCUUCACAAGAACAGCAUAAAGAGUCAUAAAUGGGAACACCAGCUCAGCAGCAGUCAAGCUGACCAUACUCAGGAGGACCCGCUUUCGAUCCCUGGCCUUGCUCAGUGGGUUAAGGAUCCCACAUUGUCAUAAGCUGUGGUGCAGGUCAGCAGCUGCAGCUGCAAUUCAGCCCCUGGCCUGGGAACCUCCCUAUGCCGUGUGUGCAGCCCUGAAAAGACACCCCCCCCCAAAAAAAAGAAAAAGGUCAUAAAUGGCUGGAGUUCCCUGGUGGCUCAGGGGGCUAAGGAUCUGGCAUUGUCACUGCUGUGGCUUGGGUUACUGCUGUGGCACAGGUUUGAUCCCUGGCUGGGGAACUUCUGCAUGCCAUGAGUGUGACCACAAAAAAAGAAAAAAAAAAAGCCUCUCCCCCUAAAAGCUACCCUUAUCCCCUGGUUAUUUGGGAGUGAUGAAUUUCUAAGUGGCUCUAAACUCAGAGGACAGGCAUAAACCCUUCGGUAUCUUCACUUCAGACAACAAUCUGAUUCUUAUCAAGCAGAGGAGAAAUCACGAUGUCCAGUCAGCUUUUUAAAGAUAAAUGAGGUGAAGGAAGAACCAGAGAUUGAGGAGUUUCAUCUACAGUCAGUCCUGUGAGAGGACAACGGUGGUUGAAGCGAUCCUUGGAUUUCCGUCCUGAUCAUGUGCGCCCCACAUACUUUCAGGAAUUCUGCUAAGGAAGAGGGGGCGGAGCUUCCAGGGGGAUCGGGGAUUGGGGGGGGCAUCCUUGUGCGGAGAGGUGAACUGAUUUCUCCAACGCUGCAGAGCAGGUUGAGACAUGGGCCCUUUUCCCCAGAGAAGACUUUGCAAAGUCCAUUUCCCCCCUGGUGUUUCCAGGUCAGACCCGGCUGCCAUGACUGCCCAGAGGCCUGGUUCAGGAACUUCACUGGGGACUGGAAGGCUUCCAUUCCUUUCCUGUGCUAGGAACCCAAGCGAUCAGACCUGGGUCUUGGCGACAUCAUUUUACCCAAGGGGCAUGUAGAGCAGCGGGAGGAAGAAGACUUCAAAUGAAAGGAGGAGGGAUUCCUUUUCUAGCGAGCAAAGUGGAAAGCGCGUGAAAGAAAGAAAAGGAAAGCAGCAUAGAAUUACAGAUAAUGUUCGAAGAGUCAAAAUCAUUUGUGCUUUGUGAACAAACCAGGACUUGUUUUUAGUUUCAUCCAGCCUGCCUCCUCCCUGACCUCAAGCAAACUGCCAGGGCACACUCUAUGUGAAAGCAGCCGAUACUCAAUUUACUAUCAGUCCAAGUCAC
ensembl:lncRNA